rnacentral:lncRNA from 1 species
AGCCUAGUGGUGAAAAAGAUGGUAUAGCUUACCUUGGAGGCUAUAGCCUAUAUGUUAACCCACUAUGGUGUGACAACAUUCCUCCUAAAGACAAAACUCUCUUCUUGGAAGAUGAGAGUACUCUUAAGGGUAAGGAAUGUGUAGUCUUGGAAGUUACUCCUUCUUCUUCUUUGUGUGACACUAUUGUUGAGAGUACUCAUAGUGAUGAUU